rnacentral:rRNA from 1 species
UACGUAGGGUGCGAGCGUUAAUCGGAAUUACUGGGCGUAAAGCGUGCGCAGGCGGUUUUGUAAGCCAGAUGUGAAAUCCCCGGGCUUAACCUGGGAAUGGCAUUUGGGACUGCAAGGCUCGAGUGCGGCAGAGGAGACUGGAAUUCCUGGUGUAGCAGUGAAAUGCGUAGAUAUCAGGAGGAACACCGAUGGCGAAGGCAGGUCUCUGGGCUGAUACUGACGCUCAUGCACGAAAGCGUGGGGAGCAAACAGG